rnacentral:rRNA from 1 species
UACGUAGGGUGCAAGCGUUAAUCGGAAUUACUGGGCGUAAAGCGUGCGCAGGCGGUUUUGUAAGUCUGUCGUGAAAGCCCCGGGCUCAACCUGGGAAUUGCGUUGGAGACUGCAAGGCUUGAAUCUGGCAGAGGGGGGUAGAAUUCCACGUGUAGCAGUGAAAUGCGUAGAGAUGUGGAGGAACACCGAUGGCGAAGGCAGCCCCCUGGGUCAAGAUUGACGCUCAUGCACGAAAGCGUG